AUGCUUGGUCGAAACUCAGAAGUUUUCUUGCCCAAACGUGGAGGAGACCACAGAAGAAAAUUAUUAAAUAGAGAAUCCUUCUGGAUUUUUGCAUUAAAUACACGUCAACCAGAUGGUUUGAAUAAACGUUUGGACCUAAUCCUGC